GAGACACAGAAGCAACUGCUGUCCCCAAGUGUUCAGUUCGCUCCGUCCCGCAAAUGCAGAAGCUCAGAUUCCUAUAGCAAAUCCCAUAUUCUAUGUCAUUCUUUUUUUUUUUGAGACAGAGUUUCGCUCUUGUUAACCAGGCUGGAAUGCAAUGAUGCGAUCUCGGCUCACCGCAACCUCCGCCUCCUGGGUUCAGACAAUUCUCCUGCCUCAGCCUCCUGAGUAGCUGGGAUUACAGGCAUGACCCACCGCGCCCGGCCUGCUGCUGUCAUCAUCAUGGGAAGAACAUACCUGGCUGGCCCAGAGAACAGACGAGCGAGAUAUGUGUCCCAGAAGAGCUGCCUAGCCAGUCUCAGCCCAGAAUUAGCUCACGUGAUUAUGGAGGUUGACAAGUCCAAAUUCUGCAGGGUGGACUGGCAAACUGGAGACCCAGGGAAGAGUCAUUGCUGCAGUUUGAGCCUGAAGGUGGUCUGCCAUGGAGCCAGAAGAGCCAAUGCUGUAGAACAGAUCGGAAGGUCUUCUCAUGGCUGAUUCCUUCUUGCUCAAAAGAGGUGAAAUGCCUGCUCCUGCUUCACCUUCUGCCAUGCUUAAAGGCUCCCUGAGGCCUCACCAGCAGCUGAGCAUCUGCCAGUGCCAUCCUUGUACAGCCUGCAGAACUGUGAGCCAAUUAAACCUCUUUUCUUUAUAAAUUACCCAGCCUUAGAUAUUUCUUCAUAGUGAUGAAAAAAUGAUCUAAAACUAGGGUAGUGUUUUUACAUCCAUGGAUUUACCAGUCAUGUGAUGUAAUAACAUAAUUUUGCCUUGUCACGCAUACUGUAACUUAUGUGGAGAGAGAGAAAAUUGAUUUUUUCUGUGAAAAGUGAUUCAAGAAAGAAAGUCAUCAGUUUAGGUAAGUCAUGUAGGUGGACAGAAAGCAAAAAUUCUUACCUAAAAUAAAAAGGUUAUCAGGGAAACAAUAGAUAAUGGACCCCAUUAUGAGGAAUAUGGGGUGCUGUGUGGCAUGGAGUUGUUGGAUCGUGACUUUUCCAAAUGUCAAGGUCUGCUGGCCUGUGUCCUUAAUUGUUUUUAUUGAUCCGCCCACUGUAGCUCAAGAAAGGGGUUGGCAAGAACUAGGUGAGGUCCCAGCUCAGAGAGCUAGGGUAAGAUGCACACACAUCUCUUGCUGGAAUAGAACUGAAGUGCUGUCUUAGUCCAUUUGUGUUGCUGCAGAGAGGCAACACAAAGAGAAGAGGUUUAUUUGGCUCACAGUUCUGCAGGCUGUACCAGAAGUAUGGUGCCAGCAUCUGCUUCUGGUGAGGACCUCAGGCUGCUUCCACUCAUAAGAAGGCAAAAGGGAGCCAACUUAUGCAGAGAUUAUCUGGUAAGAGGAGCCAAGAGAGCAGGGAGGUGUCAAGCUCUUUUCAACAACCAGCUCUCUUGGGAACUAACAGAGUGAGACUUCAUUUAUUACCCCAACGAGGGCAACAAGCCAUUCAUAACGAAUUCAUCCCCAUGACCCAAACACCUCUCAUUAGGCCCUCACCUCUGGCACUGGGCAUCAAGUUUCAACAUGACGUUUAGAGGGUCAAAUCCCACAUGAUAGCAAGUGUCAUGUGAAAAACUGAGGGAAAAGCGCAGUUGUCUUUUCUGAGCUUGUGGCAAAAAUUAGGUGAAGGUUGGUGAACAUUAAGAUGAAGGGUUGCUCCUGGUUGGACACAUUCCAGGCCUGUAAUACCAUGACAAAUUGCCGCUUUCACCUGCUGGGUGGUAGGAAUGGGAGUUUUCCAAGGCUGGGCGGCAGUGGAGGUGACCUAUGCAGUGUUCUUGUUGGCUCCCAUCAUAUUCUCUUGCUCUGCCUCUCACUUCUGCUGCAGUAGCAGGUUGUGUUUUAUCAGAAGCAAAUGCAGGGUAAGAAUUAGAAGUGCAAAAGGUUUACUGAGAAAGGAAAAGGAGGAAUUGGGAUUGGGCAGGGGGAGCUGUCAGUCCCUGAUACAGACCUCACAAAAUCUGUACCCAUGGAGACUGUGCAAGAGAGGAGUCCUGUGUUGGAUGGAGAGGUAGCCCUUCUUUAUAUUGCUGCUUUGCUCAGUCAUUGGUGGGGCACUCUCCUGAAAAGAACUUGAACUUGGCUGGAUGAUCAAGGUGGAUCCUGAGGAGUUAACAGCUGGAGGAUGUCAGCAGGAACAGCAACAUAAUUUGCAGGGCCCAGGGAAAAAUGAAAAUGGGGGUAUCUGGUUAAAAAAUAUUAAGGAUGUCAAUCAAGAUGAUGCCAGACCAUUGGGUCAAGUGGGGGGCCUUUCUAACUAUGGGACCCAAUGAGACUGCAUGAGUCUCACCUAUGGCCAAGCCCUGGCUGCCAGCUGACCAUGGUUUGCACCUCACAGCAUGUCCUGUUUUGAAGGGGAUCUUAGCACGGCCCUCCCACAUCUUGUGCAGGUCAGGAUGACCUUCUCUGAAGUUGCGGGAAGUAGCUCAACCCUGGGUGCCACUUAUAGUUGUAGGGCUGUGAUACUACCUGGUGAGCCUGCAACCGGUGGAGGGACAGUGCUGAGGUGUGUUCUACAGAGUUCUCAGAGGGUUCCCGCAAGAAUGAGCUGCAGUUGUGCACAACGAUGAUCAACUCAGCAAAAUGCAGUUUUUUGGCUUGUCCUUCUUCCCUGUCCUGCCCUCUCCAGUCCUUCACCCUGGCUUUUCAGAACCACCUCCGAGAUAAGCCACCUGUGCUUAUGUCCUUAUCUCUAGCUCUUCUUUCAGGAAAACUCACACAAAACACAUGCUCUUGUUCAGGACUAACUCAGGAAUUGGUGUCUCUGGCAGAACGUGGCUAAAGAAGGAAGAAGCAGAUGUGCAUAAAAUAAGUGAUGUGUUCUCAAAUUCCUAAAGGGAGAGACUCACAGAAGUAACUUACUAACAGCCAGCCAACACUCCUUGCCAGGAGAAAUGGGGUUAUUACUUGUUUUGGCCACAGUAGGGAUCCCAUCCACUUUUUCAGUUAGAGACCCACGUUGUCAUGGCCAGUCAUCCUUCAGACCAGGGGGAAUCCUGGGACUGGGGAUUUAUUGCAAGUGUAUUGACUGUCCAUUCCAUGUAAUGGGAGAGUAAUAUUCUCUUCAGAGAAUGGCUCUUGGCAUGAAUUCUUUCCAGUAAAGACCUGAGCUGAUGUGACUUCUGCAUCUAACUUGGGGAAUGAAGGAGGGAACUUUCCACAGGUCUGUAAAAGUUAGGGCUGCCCUGGUUAACUUUUGUCUUCAACUGUGUGUAAAUGUUGAUCAUUCAAGCAGGGUGAGUGCCAACUCUUCAUAAGAAUGUAGGUCAGGGAGAGUGGGGUUUGCACUAAAAGAAAUGAGAAAGUUAUUGUUAUAAGUUAAUUUUGGAAACCGUAGUGGACUUUGUGAUGAUGAGAUGUAUAGAUCUACCUUAUGAAAAUCGAACCCUCCCAGUUUCUGAGACUGGUGCUGGUAGACAUCUGUCAGCUGUUACAUCCCAUUUAGGGACUGGCUGGCUCAGGGUUAUUCCUCUUUCCAGGGGACAGCCUGCAUCCAAUGACCAGUUGAUGUGCAGUAAGAAGGCAUAAUCCCUGCAUGCUCAGGAGUCAGCUCUGAAGAGCCGCUUGAGCACCAGAGUUCACAGGGGGUUUGCUGAGGCCUUUAUUGAGACUACAUUGCAGCUGAGCUUUUUUUUUCUCUGCCCAAUCCUGCUUCCUUCUCUUCCCUUCCACAAGCAUUGAUCCCAAUAACCUCCCAAAGAAGCCUCUUGCAAGCUAAUCUUCAUUGCAGAGACUGAUUUUUCAGAAAGCCCAACCGGAAACGGUGACAUCAUCUAUGACACUGUGUGUUAAUAGUAACAUUCAGCUGGGUAGGCUCUUUGCUGCGUCUUGACAAAUUCGGUUUGUGCCAGGCUCAGUUUUCUGUUCAACAGUCCUUCUUUAGUGACAGUUUCAGGAGAAUCUGAUGUUUAGAGUGCUGCUAUUCUUAAGUUUUCAGGGAAAGAACCAACUCAGCUUCCCAGUGACAUCUCUGUUCAGCAGGCGAGAGUUUUGUUUUCUUUUAAGUCGAGAUGUAAUUCAUGAACAGUUCAAUGAGCUUUGGCAAGUUUGUAUGCCUGUAUAACCAACACCCUCGUUAUGAUAGAAAACCUCUCUAUCACCCCAGAAAGUUUGUUGGUGCCCCUUUUCCAGUCAACACCUUCAUCCCAGCCCCUUUCCGGGGGCAGAACUUAUGCUGAUUUCUAUCAUCAUGGCUUUGUAUGGCC
rnacentral:lncRNA from 1 species